rnacentral:lncRNA from 1 species
UACACUUUUAAAAACGAUUUGCCAACUUGUAAUUUAUCAUUCAGUCGAAUCUAUUGAUGUGGCAGAAAAUAGAGUAAAAUAUUUUCAUGAUAAUGUUCACAAACAUAAUUUCUUGAAGUGCGUUUAUCAUAAUUUACGACGUAAAUAAAAUACAUUGGAGAAUAAUAGAUUUGUCAUUUUCAUUUAUCACAAUCUCCAAGACGAGUCAGCAAAAUAAUUUUAUGAUGUUCUUGGUCUUCCGUAGAUAAAGUAAACAACUACAACAACUACUAUAACAGCUUAGCCUCGGACUCUCCUCGGAAACUUUCAUACCGGUAUUUUUACUGUCGUUAUUUUCUUGUCAAAUAAUUGUGGAAAGAUGAAAGGCUGAUAAUUUUGGCAGGAUUUAUACUCAGAACUGAAGAUAUUUGAACUGAUCACCUGUUGUUCAGUUUAGAACUCACAAGUGAAGACAGCUUAUAUCAAUAGAUUUCCAGUUUUAUGGAAUAUGUUUGAAUUUCACAAUAUUGUAUGAAAAAAAAAAAUCCUAGUUACAAACUAAGAAUUAAUGUUAUGGGAUUACACAGUUCAGUCAAGAUCAUUUUCUUCUUAAUAAAAAAGAAAAGACUGAGAGUUUGUCAAUUGUAAUUACAUUUGUGAAAAAUUGAUUAAAUUGAAGACCCUAGUUCUAAAAGUGCUUUAGUCACACGCAAAUUAAUGUGACUUAAGCACUUUUAGCAAUAGGGUCUUCAAUUUUUAUUUAAUGUAAAAAGAUUGACCAAAAACCAUCUACUGCAUAUUCGAGUGCACAUGGAAAUUUGCAAUGGAAAAGAUUCUUUUCACAGCGAAUUUGAAGGAAAAGAUUUACCCUUGAGAUCACAUGAGAAAAGUAAUGAGAGAUCAUCAACAGAAGAAUUACAUUUUCAUUGUGAGACAUGUGGCAAAGACUUUUUAAGAAACAUCAAUCUUACAAGACAUAUGAAAAUACACUCUGGGGAAAGGCCAUUUUUCUGUGGGGUUUGUGGGAAAGACUUUCUAGAGAGCUCCAAUUUAACUAAACAUAUGAGAGUACAUACAGGAGAGAAACCUUUCCACUGUGAAAUUUGUGGGAGGAAUUUUUCUCACAGUUCUAAUCUCACCCAACAUAUGAGGACACAUACUGGUGAAAGACCUUUCUCUUGUGGGGUUUGUGGGAGGGAUUUUUCAGAUGGUUCUACCCUCAACAAACAUCUUAGGAUACAUACUGGGGUGAAACCUUUCCUCUGUGAAGUAUGUGGCAAAGACUUUUCUCAAAAUUCUUACCUCACACAACAUCUCAGAACCCAUACUGGGGAGCGACCCUUUCAUUGUGAGAUAUGUGAAAAGGAUUUUUCUCAAAAUUCACAUCUAACAAAACACAUGCGAAUACACACUGGCGAAAGACCGUUUAGUUGUCAAAUGUGUGGAAAGGGUUUUUCACAGAAUUCCCAUCUAACAAAGCAUAUGAGGACACAUAACGAAGAAAAACCAUUUCACUGCGAACUAUGUGGGAAAAAUUUUUCCCAUAAUUCUAGCCUUAAUGUACAUAUGAGAUCACACACAGGAGAUAAAUCUUUUGAGUUUCAGAUAUGUGAAAAACUUUUCCAGAUGGUUCCAAUUUGAAUGAUAAAUGAACAUGUGAUUUUGUCAGGUUUUUGGAGAUGAAAGUUGUACUUACAAAUGUUUUGUUUGGGAGAGGUCUUUUUUUUUUUUUUAAAUAUUUGGAUUUUUUUUUCACUUAUCCAUUAAAUUACACAUGACAAUACUUAGCACACAUAUAUAUGUUAUUGUAAAUCAUGUUCAAAAUAAAACAUGCACAUAUGCACAUACAUAAUCUGUGUAAAGAGAGACUAACCAAACAAAACAAAAAAAAAAAUUUAAUGAAAAACAUAUACGCACACACUCAGCUGCUCACACACAUUCUCAAAAGUGUAAAUAUACAAUAAUAAACCUUAGUAUACUCAGGUUUAACAGACCAGGAGCAAUGAGGUGAUGCGCUCAAGGAUAUUGACAAAGGGACUCUUGACAAAUCAAAUGAUUGAUUAAUUGUUCAAAUGUUUAGUUAAACAAUCAAUUAGUUAAUUGGUUAAUUAGUUAAUUAAUUUACUAGAAAAAAUUAAAAGAAGUAAAAUAUAAUGUGAGCAUGCAUUUUUAUUGGCAAAAUGAACCUCCCAAGAUACAACAUAUUUUCAUUUUAUUAUCAAAUUAUGGAUGCUUAAGUUUUCUAUUGCUCAACACAAAAGAUAUAUGAGCAAUGUAUUCUUUUGCUUUUUUCAUUGUUAAAAUGCAUACAGAGUGCAUCAGCUAUUUGAGACCAAAAUUUUAAUUUAAAGAAAACAAAAAUUGUUUAUUAGAAAAACAAAUAUAUUUUCAUAGAAUUUGGUGAACAUUCUUACAUAUAUAUAGCGAAAGGCUAUUCAAUAAAACUGCCAUCAGCCUCAAUUACUGCCUUGAUAUGGCUUCUGAAAUUUCUAAAUGCAUUGAUCAGGUGAUUAUUAUUCAUUUUGGCCAUAACAUCCUUAGGUCAACAGACAUCAACAAAUCCUUGGUAUCAUGGGCAGGUUUGUUGGCUUCCCUCUCAUGGUGCCCCAAAGGUUUAGCCCAGAGAGUUUAAACCAGGAGAGCUAGGAGGCUAAAUAGAAGUAUGAAAAUUUUUGGUCAUCCACUCCUGUGUUAUGCAAGCUGUAUGAAAGGGAGCUGAGUCUUGCUGGAACACGUACACCUCCCCGUAGCAACUCUCUUAAUCCAAAGCUUGACAACUGUCUCUGUUGUCUCGAUGUCAGCUGCCACAUUAAUCUUAAUAUCUUGCAGGAAAAAGUGAGAAGGCAUGACAUGGCCCUCAUUUCUCAUGACUCCCAAAGACCAUCACAGAUGAUAGGAACUUGGUGUGCAUAACAGUGAGGACUUCAGUAGGGCUGAUACAGAGCCAGCUAUCAUUCUCCCUCUUCACUUUUGGAUUUUGGACAAAACUCUUCUCAUCUGAGAAUCAGAGCAUGUUUGGCUCCUCGGGUUACUUGAGUUUGUUCAGCAAGUUCUUCAAUUGACUCAGAUAGUUCUUGUUUUUAUCAGACAUGAACUGCCCUGUUAUCAUAAUAUAGGAUUUGUAUCUGUCUUUGUGCAUCUAAUCGUUGACUAUGACACACGAAAAUGAUUAGUAAUGGCCCUCAUUGACUUGCCAAGAUUGUCAUUGAUGAUGUCCUGGACUUACUGGACAAACCUGAUUUUUCUGACAAUGUCUGACAGUCAAGAAUGUUUUUCUUUUGGCUACAGAAAAUAUUCCUGCUAAAAUCCAGGAGUUCUUUUCUUAUUUUAAACAUGAAGGACCUGGUGACAUUUAAGGUUUCAAUCUCAGAUCCCUGUGGUUAAAGACAACAAAAACAUGGUAUGCUUUUUCAUUAUUUGCAGUAAAUUCAAAGCUUCCAUGUUGGGGCUGGAAAAGAAGAGAGAUAUUUAGUUAAAGUCUGGGCCACUUAUUUGUUCUUAAAAGUUUUCUUCUCAAAUAGCAGUACAUCUGCAAAAAAUUUGAAGAUAUUUUCAAUUUAUGAAUUGUAACUUCAUAUAUUUCUUACUUUUUAUUUAAAAUCUGUUUAUUCACAAAAUAUGCAAUGACCUAUAUAAUAAUGCUUAUUAUUGAUAAUUUUUUUCUCCAUUUUAUGUCCUGGAACUGAUUCACAUUCCAGGUUUUUAACAUUUUUCUUGAAUAUCUAUUAUUUGGUAGUUUACCAAGUUGAUUCAUGGCCCAAAAUAUGAGCAUGCAUUUAUAUUUACAGUUUAUUGGUACCUAUAGAUUUCAGAGAGUUUUGUGGAUUGUUCUUUCAGUGUGCAUGUAGUUAAUAAUAAUGUUAAAAGUUGUGCAUUGAACUAUCAGAAGAUUAAUCUGUCAAAACUGAUCACUCAGUCAAUGGAAUAAUGAUAAAAUGAAAAAAUAUCAAUAAAAGUUGAUAGGGCUUGAGAGUUUCAGGUGAAUAUAGAUUUUUUUUUAAACUAGAGAAAUACUAUUAUGUAUUUCAGAUACUAAAAAUAAUUACUUGAAAGAGAAAAAGAAAAUCUAUAUUUAUAAUUGUGAUAAUGCAUUGUCUAGCAUAACUGUUAAGUCUCUAUAAAUUGCUGUAUCCAUAAUGUUAGCUUUUAAAUUUCUUUCAUUAUGCACACUGGUUGGUAUAAGGAAGGGCAUCCAGCCAUAGGACUCAUGCCAAAGAUAAUAUUGGUGUGUGAUGUAGUCCUGUGGCUUGCUAGAUCCUGUCAAACCACCCAGCCCAUGCUGGCAUGAAAAAUGGAUGUUAAAUGAUGAUGAUCAUACACAGACUGCUUUUAUUAUUUCCUUGUUUCUUCUGCUAUUAGAAUAAUACUAUAAAAACUUGUGCAGUGAAAGAAUAAAGUUAUGUUAUGACAGAAAGGUACUUGCCUUAAAAUAUUAAGUUUUCAAUUUCCACAUAUGAUGACAUGCAAGAGUAAAAUGUUUUAAAUUUCUUUAUACUUUUUCAAGUUAACAUGUACAAAGAAUUAAUAUUUUAUUGGACUAAGGACUCAGGAUUAUAGGUUCAAAACAAGUAACUGAAAAACAAGGCAAAAUAUAAACAAAUAAAAUUUGCAAUUUCAUCUGUGGCAUAAAUUUUACACCUAAAAUAAACGUGUCUAUUUUGGAAUUUCAUAUAUGGUAAUAUUGAUGAAAAUUUCCAAAACAGUUUUUGUGUAAUUUCCAUCAUAAUAAUUAACUUCUGAAAAACAGUAACCACUAUAUGAAUUCUAAUAUUAUUGCACAAGGUUAAUUGUUUUACUAAUCUCAGGAAUAUACCUGUUAUAUUAUGUUAUGUUAUUACAUAUAGGAUUUUAUUUGCAUUUGUACCAUUAACAUUUUCAUAGCUAUUGUCUUUUUCAAACCCUUGCCAUUAUGAAAAAAGUAAUUUGUUAUAAUUUUGCUUUUAUGUUAACACUGAAAUUUGUAAAUCAUUUUACCAUAUUUUUUUUUUCAAGAACAAAAAAAAAAAAACAACAACAAAAAUAAAACUAGUUAUUGUACAUAACUGUUCAGAUGAUACAUAAAUAUUUAUUAUAAAUUUUAUUUGGCAAUGGAGGAGUAAAUAUUCAAAUAUUUUCCUGUGAUUUGGACCAGUGAAAUGCAAUGGAGCAAUUUAUGGGACCAUAAUAAAAAGUUUUUGUUAUGAGUUGUUUUUCAUGUAGCUGUUCUUGGAUAAUGAGAAGUUUCAUAGGAACAGAUACAGCUGUUAACUUUUAUAUCUUUUAUCUCUUAACUAUUUUUUGUUAAGUAACUGCUACAUCUUUGCUAUUGGAUGGUUGUGAAGCUUUAUUGUACAAAGGUAUCAGCAGAUAUCAUCAAAAGCCUUAAGGUGAUAUUUGAAAUUUUAAUAAUGUAUUGAUGAUAGUAGUAUAUUAAUAAAAUAAAAUAAAAUAUAUUCUC